GACGAACGCUGGCGGCGUGCUUAACACAUGCAAGUCGAACGGAAAGGCCCUUCGGGGUACUCGAGUGGCGAACGGGUGAGUAACACGUGGGUGAUCUGCCCUGCACUUUGGGAUAAGCCUGGGAAACUGGGUCUAAUACCGAAUAGGUCCGCGCGCUUCAUGAUGUGUGGUGGCAAGCGUUUGCGGUGUGGGAUGGGCCCGCGGCGUAUCAGCUUGUUGGUGGGGUAAUGGCCUACCAAGGCGACGACGGGUAGCCGGCCUGAGAGGGUGACCGGCCACACUGGGACUGAGAGACGGCCCAGACUCCUACGGGAGGCAGCAGUGGGGAAUAUUGCACAAUGGGCGCAAGCCUGAUGCAGCGACGCCGCGUGAGGGAUGACGGCCUUCGGGUUGUAAACCUCUUUCACCAGGGACGAAGCGCAAGUGACGGUACCUGGAGAAGAAGCACCGGCCAACUACGUG
rnacentral:rRNA from 1 species